rnacentral:rRNA from 1 species
GACGAACGCUGGCGGCGUGCUUAACACAUGCAAGUCGAACGGAAAGGCCCCUUCGGGGGUACUCGAGUGGCGAACAGGUGAGUAACACGUGAGUAACCUGCCCUUGACUUCGGGAUAACUUCGGGAAACUGGGGCUAAUACCGGAUAGGAAUCCUUGCUGCAUGGUGGGGGUUGGAAAGCUUCGGCGGUUUUGGAUGGACUCGCGGUUUAUCAGCUUGUUGGUGGGGUAGUGGCUUACCAAGGCUUUGACGGGUAGCCGGCCUGAGAGGGCGACCGGCCACAGUGGGACUGAGAUACGGCCCAGACUCCUACGGGAGGCAGAAGUGGGGAAUAUUGCACAAUGGGCGGAAGCCGGAUGCAGCAACGCCGCGGGCGGGAUGACGGCCUUCGGGUUGUAAACCGCUUUCAGCAGGGGCGAAGCUUGUGGUGACGGUACCUGCAGAAGAAGCACCGGCUAACUACGUG